UACGGAGGAUCCAAGCGUUAUCCGGAUUUAUUGGGUUUAAAGGGUGCGUAGGUGGCCUGUUAAGUCAGGGGUGAAAGACGGUAGCUUAACUAUCGCAGUGCCUUUGAUACUGACGGGCUUGAAUACACUAGAGGUAGGCGGAAUGUGACAAGUAGCGGUGAAAUGCAUAGAUAUGUCACAGAACACCAAUUGCGAAGGCAGCUUACUAUGGUGUUAUUGACACUGAGGCACGAAAGCGUGGGGAU
rnacentral:rRNA from 1 species